rnacentral:ncRNA from 21 species
UUGCGUGCUGGAGAUGGCAUUCUCCAAUGGGUGUCCGGCGUGCGCUUCAACACACGCGCUCGCGCGAACCCAUUAACCGCCUCGUGCUGAUGAUGCCUGCUUCCCC